rnacentral:rRNA from 1 species
AAUAUUGGUCAAUGGGCGGAAGCCUGAACCAGCCAUGCCGCGUGCAGGAUGACUGCCNNNUGGGUNGUAAACUGCUUUUGUCCNGGCNUAACCCCAGAUACGAGUAUCUGGCUGAAUGUACUGGAAGAAUAAGGAUCGGCGAACUCCGUGCCAGCAGCCGCGGUAAUACGGAGGAUCCGAGCGUUAUCCGGAUUUAUUGGGUUUAAAGGGUGCGUAGGCGGCCUGUUAAGUCAGGGGUGAAAUACGGUGGCUCAACCAUCGCAGUGCCUUUGAUACUGACGGGCUUGAAUCCAUUUGAAGUGGGCGGAAUAAGACAAGUAGCGGUGAAAUGCAUAGAUAUGUCUUAGAACUCCGAUUGCGAAGGCAGCUCACUAAGCUGGUAUUGACGCUGAUGCACGAAAGCGUGGGGAUCGAACAGG